rnacentral:lncRNA from 1 species
CCCGCAUUCGCCCGGGUCAGGAGCUGCUCUGUGUGAGGAGCGCUGUCUGCGCAGCCGCCUUGCACUUCCCCACUCCUCCUCCCCCCUCCUACUCGUCCUCCACCUCCUUCCUCCCCCACCCAGCCUUACACCGCCCAGCGCCCCGCCGCCCGCGUAACAGGCGUCUGGGAAUCGCCGGCCGAGCCCCACGCUCGCCCGCUUCGGCUGGGAGCCGAAGCCCGAACGGAGCCAAUCACGGACGUCGUUUGUUUGCGGCUCCUCCCGGAAAAAGCCGAUCAGCCUGAGAAACCAAUUAGAAAGUGACGCUGGGAAGCCACGCCCAAAGAGCGGAAAAUGCCGAAGGUAGCCGAACGGAAAGGGUGAAUUCGCCUUGUUCGGUGGCUGGCUGGAGGAGACAUUCGACAAUGGCAACAGUGGCCAAUCAGAGUCGCCGGCCCUUACGAAGAGGCUUGAAGAGUUGAGGACGGUGAAACCCAGAGACGCUGGUGAAACUGCACGGCUGGGCGCCGCCGCCGCUUUGUGAUUGGCUGGAAAACUCCGCUGGGAGCGUACCUCCUUCGGUGAUUGGUGAAGAGAAGGGGGCUUCCGAGGACAGUCUGGCCAGUCAGGACUUCCCCUCCCUCUCCAAGGUGGGGAGAAGAAAGCGAAGGGAGGGCGUCUAUAAAGCGCUGUCUCAUUGGCCUGAAGCUUAGGCGCUGGAGUUGGGGCAAAAGGGAGAGGGAGGGAGCCCGAAACUCGCGGCGGCGGCCAAUCGGCUCUCACUGCCGUCCAAUCGCAAGACCUAGCUGCAGUGUGAUUGGCCUUCGGCCCCGGUCCCAGGAGCGGGGAGAUGCCUGACUCGGGUCGUGGCUGACGACCCGACGGUUCGCCUGCGGCCGCCUCCAACAACGGUGGAAACCGCACACAGGGACCGCGGGCCCUCGGUGCAGCAAAUCGGAAAGUGCUGCGGUCGGCGGCCCUGGGCUCUGAGCGCUCAAGCGAGCAGAGGGGUGGAGGGGCUCUCCCCACCCACAGGAGGCUCUCGGCGGGGCGCAGCCAAUUCUGCGCGCCCAAGGCUCCCCUCUGCCGUGGAUCGCGUGUGCCGAGUGUUGGCCUCUUCCCCGAAAGGGCCAGACGGACCAAGGGGGCCUUCCCAGCCGGCUGCAAGCUCUCAGACGCUAAAAUGGGAACAAAGCUUCCAGAAAGGCAGCGCCUUUGGGCGGCCGCGCCCCGCCCAGCCGCGGGGGCCAUUGAUACAGAGGCUUGCUGCGCUUGGUGUGCGCGGCCCGGCCGGGCCUCUGGAAACGCCCAUGAGAAAUGAGCUCAUGCUGGAUGCGCGCGCUCCUUGGGCGCAACUGCCCAGCGCAAAACGGGCCCCGAAAGCAGGUGAGGGGAAAUGCCGUCAGGCCGGAUAUCCUGAAGCCUCCGAGGAAAUGGGGGGGUCAGAGGAGCCCGUGGUAGCUUUGGAUCUUUUGGAACUAGGGUGAUCUAUAAAAGUGCAGCUUGAGAAGAUUUCAUACAUAAGACCAGCGUCCAUUGUUCUACCAUAGAACCAGUUCCUUUGGUCUGCUUUAGAACAGUGAGGUAUGGCUACGUCAAGAUAACAGAGAAAGUAGAACAGACAGUUGCCAUCCUGAUUGUAAUCCAGUGGUGCCUGUAAUUUCUACCUGCAGAGUCAUCUCUUUCUGUUAAGAUGCUGUCUCCAGAAAGCACAUGUUAAAGGACCUAUAUUUGAUCAGAUUACCUGGCUCUUGCUUUGAAACACUGAUGAAGGACUUGGGACAGAACAAAGUGAGUGGAGGACACUUCAAUCUAAAGUGAUCUUAAAGGAGGAGUAGUAGGAUUUGAAGAUGAAGAAAGAAGAGGGGAGGUUAAAAAAUGGAGGCAACAGCUGGGUACAGUGGCUCACUCCUGUAAUUCCAGCACUUUAGGAGGCCAAGGUAGGCAGAUCACUUGAGAAAAAGAGUUCGAGACCAGCCUGGGCAACAUAGUGAGACCCUCUCUCUCAAAAAAAAUAGCCAAGUGUGAUGAUGGACACCUGUAACCCCAACUACUUCAGAGACUGAGGCAGGAGGAUCACUUGAGCCUAGGAGGUCAAGGCUGCAGUGAGCUGUGAUUGGGCCACUGCACUCCAGCCUGGGUGACACAGAGAGACCUCUCUAAAAAAUAAAAAAAUAAAAAAAAUGGAAGCACAGAAAACUAUACCUUUUCUAGCUCAACUUUACCACAUUGAUGAAAAAGUAUUGAGCAGCCACAGGUACAUGACAUUCCACUAUGUUCUUGGGAUAAUAUUAAAGAAAAGGCAUGAAGGUAUGCUCUGAGCAGGCAAGAGAAGUCACAUAAAAUGAGAGUAAUUUAUAAUGUGAUUUUUUCCCAUGGUCCUUCUUUUUCUCAUUUAACUGUUUACUCCUUUAUAUGUUAUAGCAAUUGUUGUUUAAUAAUUGCAUUAAAAUAAAUAGAUGCCUUGGACACUGAUACUCUUGGAAUACAGAACAAUGUUCAUAGCAUUUAAUAUAUGGAUACAAGAUUUUUUAAAAGGA